GAUGAACGCUAGCUACAGGCUUAACACAUGCAAGUCGAGGGGCAGCAUGGUCUUAGCUUGCUAAGGCCGAUGGCGACCGGCGCACGGGUGAGUAACACGUAUCCAACCUGCCGUCUACUCUUGGACAGCCUUCUGAAAGGAAGAUUAAUACAAGAUGGCAUCAUGAGUCCACAUGUUCACAUGAUUAAAGGUAUUCCGGUAGACGAUGGGGAUGCGUUCCAUUAGAUAGUAGGCGGGGUAACGGCCCACCUAGUCUUCGAUGGAUAGGGGUUCUGAGAGGAAGGUCCCCCACAUUGGAACUGAGACACGGUCCAAACUCCUACGGGAGGCAGCAAUGAGGAAUAUUGGUCAAUGGGCGAGAGCCUGAACCAGCCAAGUAGCGUGAAGGAUGACUGCCCUAUGGGUUGUAAACUUCUUUUAUAAAGGAAUAAAGUCGGGUAUGGAUACCCGUUUGCAUGUACUUUAUGAAUAAGGAUCGGCUAACUCCGUGCCAGCAGCCGCGGUAAUACGGAGGAUCCGAGCGUUAUCCGGAUUUAUUGGGUUUAAAGGGAGCGUAGAUGGAUGUUUAAGUCAGUUGUGAAAGUUUGCGGCUCAACCGUAAAAUUGCAGUUGAUACUGGAUAUCUUGAGUGCAGUUGAGGCAGGCGGAAUUCGUGGUGUAGCGGUGAAAUGCUUAGAUAUCACGAAGAACUCCGAUUGCGAAGGCAGCCUGCUAAGCUGCAACUGACAUUGAGGCUCGAAAGUGUGGGUAUCAAACAGGAUUAGAUACCCUGGUAGUCCACACGGUAAACGAUGAAUACUCGCUGUUUGCGAUAUACAGCAAGCGGCCAAGCGAAAGCGUUAAGUAUUCCACCUGGGGAGUACGCCGGCAACGGUGAAACUCAAAGGAAUUGACGGGGGCCCGCACAAGCGGAGGAACAUGUGGUUUAAUUCGAUGAUACGCGAGGAACCUUACCCGGGCUUAAAUUGCAGAUGAAUUACGGUGAAAGCCGUAAGCCGCAAGGCAUCUGUGAAGGUGCUGCAUGGUUGUCGUCAGCUCGUGCCGUGAGGUGUCGGCUUAAGUGCCAUAACGAGCGCAACCCUUGUUGUCAGUUACUAACAGGUUCCGCUGAGGACUCUGACAAGACUGCCAUCGUAAGAUGUGAGGAAGGUGGGGAUGACGUCAAAUCAGCACGGCCCUUACGUCCGGGGCUACACACGUGUUACAAUGGGGGGUACAGAGGGCCGCUACCACGCGAGUGGAUGCCAAUCCCAAAAACCUCUCUCAGUUCGGACUGGAGUCUGCAACCCGACUCCACGAAGCUGGAUUCGCUAGUAAUCGCGCAUCAGCCACGGCGCGGUGAAUACGUUCCCGGGCCU
rnacentral:rRNA from 1 species